GCUCCAAUAGCGUAUAUUUAAGUUGUUGCAGUUAAAAAGCUCGUAGUUGGAUUUCGGGUGAGUUCUAGCGGUCCGCCUCUGGUGAGUACUGCUAUGGCUUACCUUUCUGCCGGGGACGCGUGGCUGGGCUUCACUGUCUGGUCCGUGGAAUCGGCGAGGUUACUUUGAGUAAAUUAGAGUGUUCAAAGCAAGCCUACGCU
rnacentral:rRNA from 1 species